CGGUGCCGGAGUGAAGAUGUUAAGUUCACUGCCUGGGGAGUACGGUCGCAAGGCUGAAACUUAAAGGAAUUGGCGGGGGAGCACUGCAACGGGAGGAGCGUGCGGUUUAAUUGGAUUCAACGCCGGAAAACUCACCAGGGCCGACUGUUAUAUGAAGACCAGCGUAAUGAGCUUGUCGGAUUUUCAGAGAGGUGGUGCAUGGCCGUCGUCAGUUCGUACUGUAAAGCGUUCUGUUAAGUCAGAUAACGAACGAGACCCUCAUCUCUAUUUGCUACCUGGUUCUCCGGAAUCAGCGCACUAUAGGGAGACCGCUGGUGUGAAACCAGAGGAAGGGGAGGGCAACGACAGGUCAGUAUGCCCCGAAUGUCUUGGGCUACACGCGCGCUACAAAGGGCAGGACAAUGGGAUGCUAGGCCGAGAGGCAUUCAAGCUAACCCGAAACCUGUUCAUAGUUCGGAUUGAGGGCUGUAACUCGCCCUCAUGAAGCUGGAUUCCGUAGUAAUCGUGUUUCAAUAUAGCACGGUGAAUAUGCCCCUGCUCCUUGCACACACCGCCCGUCAAACCAUCUUAGUUGGGGGUGGGUGAGGCUGCGCUU
rnacentral:rRNA from 1 species